GUAUCCUGGCUCAGAUUGAACGCUGGCGGCAGGCCUAACACAUGCAAGUCGAACGGUAACAGAAAGCAGCUUGCUGCUUUGCUGACGAGUGGCGGACGGGUGAGUAAUGUCUGGGAAACUGCCCGAUGGAGGGGGAGUAACUACUGGAAACGGUAGCUAAUACCGCAUAACGUCGCAAGACCAAAGAGGGGGACCUUCGGGCCUCUUGCCAUCGGAUGUGCCCAGAUGGGAUUAGCUAGUAGGUGGGG
rnacentral:rRNA from 1 species